rnacentral:misc_RNA from 1 species
AGAGUGGAAAAGAUGCAUCACAAAAGGAUCUUUAUCAAAAAAGAGCUCAACAGUGAAGACAAUAGACAUUAGGGAAAGGCUAUAGGUGAACAAUGAUUGUGAUGGUCUAGAUACAAUUGAAAAUUGCAGAGCCAUGUCAACCAUGAGAUUUAUGAAAACACUAAGAAGAUUUGGAAAGGUAUUUGAUCGAAGAGGAUGAGGACCAGAAUGUUCUAGAGCCAUGACAAUACCAGUCAAUUGAUGGAGACGUCUGGGUUGGAAUGAAUGUUGUUAUUUGAUUUUUAAACAGGGUUUGUCUUUGAUUGAGAAUUUUUUAAUUAGUGUUCUUCAUUUGAGUUGAUGUUAAAUUUUUUUUUAAUUUUUUGUUUUUUAUUUUGAUAAAAAAUAUGUACAUAAUUUGUAAUAUUUAAAAAUAAGAAAAUUAAUUUUUAUUAUUAAAAAAUUA